rnacentral:lncRNA from 10 species
UACACUUGCUACUUUUCUGAGUGCUUUGCAUGACUUUGUAAUUUAAUCUUCAUACCAACCUAUAACAUAGGUACCAUAAGUAUACCCACUUCAUAGGUUAGGAUACUAAGACACAGAGGGAGUCUACAAUGUGUCCGAAGUCAAGAAGCCAGGACAUGACAGGAUAUUAAACCCACACAGCCAUGUCACAAGCCAGAGAUUUUCAUUAAAAAUAAUGUUACAGUGGGGACUUUAAUUCCUUCCUAAAAUUGAGAAUUCUAUCCUAUUGUGUCCCAUAUACUCCAGGAGGGGAAAUUAUAAUUGCCAGAGUUAUAACUAUGCAACAGCUAUGACCUAUUUCACCCUUAGCAGGGCUCCUACAAACUGAGCUGAUGUAAAUUACAGCAGAGGGCCCUUGGUGGCAGAAUCUUUGGUGGUCACUGGCCCAUGGCAUACCCAUGCUGGGGACACAAAGGCUGUGGUCUGAUCUCACUCAGAGACAUAUGCUUUCCUAAGAUAUGACAACUCCAUAAUUAGAAGAACUGCCUGAUCCCUUAACUCCAGUGACAUCCCCUGUCAAAUGAUGCCCUAAUCAGGGACAUGGGAGUGAUCAAGGUGGAAGUAAAGUGAACUAGAAGAUUGAGCGACUAUGUGCUGUGAUCCAUGCCCUUUUCUUGAUGAUCUAGUGUAAAUUUCAAAAUGGCCACCACCAGCCUCCUCUGCAUGCUCUGCCAAGAUCAGAAGUCUUAUAUUUUCCAAAUUAUGUACCAGACAGAAGCCAUUCAAGGUUAAAGGUCUGCAAUGCUAUGGAAUGAAUUAACAAGAGCCCAUUUACUGUUUCUGCUUCCAGUCUGAAAGGAAAUUUCUGGAAUCUGCAAAAGAUUUGGAAAAGUUAAGAAAUGCAUGAGACUUACUUUGAGAAAUUCC